rnacentral:rRNA from 1 species
CCUACGGGAGGCAGCAGUGGGGAAUAUUGCGCAAUGGGCGAAAGCCUGACGCAGCAACGCCGCGUGGGGGAUGAAGGUUCUCGGAUUGUAAACCCCUUUCGAUCGGAACGAAUCUCCUCCUGGUAAAUAAUCAGGAGGAUCGACGGUACCGGGAGAAGAAGCCACGGCUAACUCUGUGCCAGCAGCCGCGGUAAGACAGAGGUGGCGAGCGUUGUUCGGAUUUAUUGGGCGUAAAGCGAACGCAGGUGGUUUGGUAAGUCAGAGGUGAAAGACCACAGCUUAACUGUGGCACUGCCUUUGAUACUGCCUUUCUAGAGUGCAUGAGGGGGAAGCGGAAUUCCGAGUGUAGAGGUGAAAUUCGUAGAUAUUGGGAGGAACACCGGUGGCGAAAGCGGCCUCCUGGACCGAUACUGACGCUGAGACGCGAAAGCGUGGGGAGCAAACAGGAUUAGAUACCCUGGUAGUCCACGCUGUAAACGAUGGGCACUAGGUGUGGGGGGUAUCCACUCCUCCCGUGCCGCAGCUAACGCAUUAAGUGCCCCGCCUGGGGAGUACGGCCGCAAGGUUAAAACUCAAAGGAAUUGACGG